UACGUAGGGUGCAAGCGUUGUCCGGAAUUAUUGGGCGUAAAGAGCUCGUAGGCGGCUUGUCGCGUCGGCUGUGAAAACCCGUGGCUCAACUGUGGGCGGGCAGCUGAUACGGGCAGGCUGGAGUUCGGUAGGGGAGACUGGAAUUCCUGGUGUAGCGGUGAAAUGCGCAGAUAUCAGGAGGAACACCGGUGGCGAAGGCGGGUCUCUGGGCCGAUACUGACGCUGAGGAGCGAAAGCGUGGGGAGCGAACAGG
rnacentral:rRNA from 1 species